UAGGGAAUCUUCGGCAAUGGACGAAAGUCUGACCGAGCAACGCCGCGUGAGUGAAGAAGGUUUUCGGAUCGUAAAACUCUGUUGUUAGAGAAGAACAAGGACGUUAGUAACUGAACGUCCCCUGACGGUAUCUAACCAGAAAGCCACGGCUAACUACGUGCCAGCAGCCGCGGUAUACGUAGGUGGCAAGCGUUGUCCGGAUUUAUUGGGCGUAAAGCGAGCGCAGGCGGUUUCUUAAGGUUGAUGUGAAAGCCCCCGGCUCAACCGGGGAGGGUCAUUGGAAACUGGGAGACUUGAGUGCAGAAGAGGAGAGUGGAAUUCCAUGUGUAGCGGUGAAAUGCGUAGAUAUAUGGAGGAACACCAGUGGCGAAGGCGGCUCUCUGGUCUGUAACUGACGCUGAGGCUCGAAAGCGUGGGGAGCAAACAGG
rnacentral:rRNA from 1 species